UACGGAGGGAGCUAGCGUUGUUCGGAAUUACUGGGCGUAAAGCGCGCGUAGGCGGCUUUGUAAGUUAGAGGUGAAAGCCCGGGGCUCAACCCCGGAAUUGCCUUUAAGACUGCAUCGCUUGAAUCCGGGAGAGGUGAGUGGAAUUCCGAGUGUAGAGGUGAAAUUCGUAGAUAUUCGGAAGAACACCAGUGGCGAAGGCGGACGUCAGCCUG
rnacentral:rRNA from 1 species